GUGGGGAAUCUUGCGCAAUGGGGGAAACCCUGACGCAGCGACGCCGCGUGAAGGAAGAAGGCCUUCGGGUUGUAAACUUCUUUGAUCGGGGACGAAGCAGACGGUACCCGAGGAACAAGCCACGGCUAACUACGUGCCAGCAGCCGCGGUAAUACGUAGGUGGCGAGCGUUGUCCGGAAUUACUGGGCGUAAAGGGCGUGUAGGCGGGGGUAGAAGUCAGGUGUGAAAUACCGCGGCUCAACUGCGGGGAUGCAUCUGAAACUCUGCUUCUUGAGUGUCGGAGAGGAAAGCGGAAUUCCCAGUGUAGCGGUGAAAUGCGUAGAGAUUGGGAGGAACACCAGUGGCGAAGGCGGCUUUCUGGACGACAACUGACGCUGAGGCGCGAAAGCGUGGGGAGCAAACAGGAUUAGAAACCCUAGUAGUCC
rnacentral:rRNA from 1 species